CUGAGAUGGACAUGGAAGAGAGAGAGAGGAUCUCUACCUCUUACUGUAACUCACAGUCACUCUCAGUGUGUUCUGUAUAACCAUGGUACUCUGUCUGAUCAUCUGGCUGGUUCUUGUUGUAUUCUGCUUCGAGUGCACAGCAGACCAUGUUCAACAGCAACCAGGAGGUGUGAUUGCUACAGAAGGAGGACUGGUAACACUGAGUUGUCAAUAUAACACCAGUGCUAAUAAUGCAUAUCUAUAUUGGUUCAAACAAGAAGAAAAUGACUUCCCUAAACAUAUGCUGAGCCGUUAUUCAUUUGGAUCUGGAGACAACGCUGCGGGGUUCAAGGAGAGAUUUGAUGCCCGUCUCGAUGCAGACUCAAAAUCAUUCCCCUUGACGAUCCAGAGGGUGCAGCUGUCUGACUCUGCUGUGUACUACUGUGCCCUGCAGCCCACAGUGAGAGGAAACCUGUGAAGACUCUACAAAAACCUGGAGAAAAAAACUGACAUCCCCUAGACAUCCUGUCAUUUUUUAUUUCAUCAUUACUUUGUGUGCUGACUCCUUGCUGUACUUUUGAAUACAACUGAUCUAUUGCCAUAUCUAUUUUGGUACAAAUAUCAAGCAAAUGGCAACCCCAUGUUUAUGCUGAGAAAGGAUACGUUUGGAGCUGGGGAAACUGCUACUGAGUUCAAGGAGAGAUUUGAUGCCCGUCUGAAUGAAAAUCUGUCCCCUUGACGAUCCAGAGGUUGCAGCUGUCUGACUCUGCUGUGUUCUACUGUGCUCUGAGGCCCACUGUGACAACAGGAUAUACAGCCUCAUUACAAAAACUAUUUGAUAGUAUGAUAUAACUCUCU